rnacentral:lncRNA from 1 species
ACGGCGUCGCACAAGUACAAGAGUUCAAACAUUAUACAACCACAACCAGAUGAAUAUACAAAUGACCAACAGAUAUACAUUCAUACACCAUUCACCACAGAUUCACAUUAAUACAUUCGAUAUUUAAAUAUAAAUCCACAUCUAUCAGUUAAAAUGUUUCCAACCACAGAAACAGGUUUUGAAAUACUAAGAUACAAAAUCCACAGAAAACCUUUUGAAAACUGUUCCCUACACAGGAACUUUUAUCUUUUUUUAAAACACUACCACGAGGGGUAGAAAAUAUUUUAUUUUACAAAAUCCAGAAAUCCUUUUAUUACAUUCAUGAAAAUCCAUAUUUUCAAAUGUAAAUAAAUACUGAACCAUAUAAACUAUCUAAGCUAUAUCAACAUAAUAGUAAGGGUAGAACUUAAACCGAAUAACCUGGGUCGGAAGCUCUAUCGACCGCUACGUAUCUCACGUCUCGUCUCAACCCUCACCGCCCGCGAUACCUGAAAAAAU